UCAGUGCAUGACAGAACUUG
rnacentral:ncRNA from 2 species